GCGGAUGUGGCGGAAUGGCAGACGCGCUGGCUUCAGGUGCCAGUGCCCGUAAGGGCGUGGAGGUUCAAGUCCUCUCAUCCGCA
rnacentral:tRNA from 1 species